rnacentral:rRNA from 1 species
GACGAACGCUGGCGGCGUGCUUAACACAUGCAAGUCGAACGGAAAGGCCCUGCUCUUGUGGGGUGCUCGAGUGGCGAACGGGUGUGUAACACGUGAGUAACCUGCCCUUGACUUUGGGAUAACUUCAGGAAACUGGGGCUAAUACCGGAUAGGAGCUCCUGCUGCAUGGUGGGGGGUGGAAAGUUUCGGCGGUUGGGGAUGGACUCGCGGCUUAUCAGCUUGUUGGUGGGGUAGUGGCUUACCAAGGCUUUGACGGGUAGCCGGCCUGAGAGGGUGACCGGCCACCUUGGGACUGAGAUACGGCCCAGACUCCUACGGGAGGCAGCAGUGGGGAAUCUUGCACAGUGAGCGGAAGCCUGAUGCAGCAACGCCGCGUGCGGGAUGACGGCCUUCGGGUUGUAAACCGCUUUCGCCUGUAGCGUGGCGUGAGUGACGGUACUGGGUAAAUAAGCCCCGGCUAACUACGUG